rnacentral:rRNA from 1 species
AUACGUAGGGGGCGAGCGUUGUCCGGAAUUAUUGGGCGUAAAGGGUUCGCAGGCGGUCCUUUAAGUCAGGUGUGAAAGGUCACGGCUCAACCGUGGUAAGCACUUGAAACUGGAGGACUUGAGUUAAGGAGAGGAAAGUGGAAUUCCUAGUGUAGCGGCGAAAUGCGUAGAUAUUAGGAGGAAUACCAGUGGCGAAGGCGACUUUCAGGACUUAUACUGACGCUGAGGAACGAAAGCGUGGGGAGCAAACAGGAUUAGAUACCCUGGUAGUCCACGCCGUAAACGAUGAGUGCUAGGUGUUGGGGGUCAAACCUCGGUGCCGCAGCUAACGCAUUAAGUACUCCGCCUGGGGAGUACGUACGCAAGUAUGAA